ACUUUAAAAAUAAACAUAAAAAUAUUAGACUUCCACUAAGAUCAAAGAUUAUUACCACACUUCUCAGCAGUGUUUACUCAUUAAAAUAAAAGCACAUUAAAAACAAAACAUUAUAAUGCAAUUGGAA